UCGCCGAUAAGGGCUCAUCUACGCCGCCGGCAGCUAGUGUGACGACGAUUCCGGUUAAAGGGAAACCUCUGCUAUUCCUUGCUUCCGGGCUCACUUCUGUUUCAUCCUCUUCUCAAGCCACUCGAGCUAAAAGAAAAAUGGCAAUAAAGUUUCUUGAUUGGUACUUAAAGGUUGCAGUUGGUUCGGCUCUAAUUGGAGGUUCCAUGGAGUUAUUCAUGAUCAAGACUGGCUUCUAUGACAAAGUGACUGUUCUAGAGUCUGAGAAGCGAGCUUGGGAGAAUUCCCCUGAAGCUCAGGCAAUGAGAGAAGCUCUUAAUCCUUGGAGAAAUCAUGAUGCACAAGAAAGAAAAUGUUCCUAAUGGAGCCACAUCUGAUUUGAGUUUUUGAU